AUUGAACGCUGGCGGCGUGCCUAACACAUGCAAGUCGAGCGGUAACAGGUGUAGCAAUACAUGCUGACGAGCGGCGAACGGGUGAGUAAUGCUUCGGAAUCUACCCAAUGGUGGGAUAACCAGCCGAAAGGUUGGCUAAUACCGCAUACGUCCCACGGGACGAAAGGCAGGGGAUCGCAAGACCUUGCGCCAAUGGAUGAGCCGAAGUCGGAUUAGCUAGUUGGAGGGUAACGGCCUACCAAGCGACGAUCCGUAGCUGGUCUGAGAGGACGACCAGCCACACUGGGACU
rnacentral:rRNA from 1 species